rnacentral:rRNA from 1 species
UUCCGAAAGGGGCGGUAAUACCAGAUAAUGUCAUCUGUUGAUGGGCAGAUGACCAAAGAUUUAUCGGCACUGGAGCGGCCUGUCUCCUAUCAGCUUGUUGGUGAGGUAAUGGCUCACCAAGGCUAUGACGGGUAGCGGGACUGAGAGGUUGGCCCGCCACAUCGGGACUGAGACACUGCCCGGACCUCCACGGAGGGCUGCAGUAACGAAUCUUGUGCAAUGGGCGAAAGCCUGACACAGCGACGCCGCGUGUAGGAGGAAGUCCUUCGGGAUGUAAACUACUGUCAGGGGUAAGAAAGUUCACUUCGGUGGAUUGAUCCAACCCAAAGGAAGUCACGGCUAACUUCGUGCCAGCAGCCGCGGUAAGACGAAGGUGGCAAGCGUUGUUCGGUAUUACUGGGCUUAAAGCGUGUGUAGGCGGAAAAGUAAGCGUUCUGUGAAAGCCCCCGGCUUAACCGGGGAAUUGCGCAACGAACUGCUUUUCUUGAGGCAAGUAGGGGUGCAUGGAACUCUUGGUGGAGCGGUGGAAUGCGUAGAUAUCAAGAGGAACGCCAGUGGAGAAAUCGGUGCACUGGGCUUGUCCUGACGCUGAGACACGAAAGCGUGGGGAGCGAACGGGAUUAGAUACCCCGGUAGUCCACGCCGU